UGGUAAAGCUGGGUGUUGCUGCUUUUGCAAUGGAGGACAAUGGGAGGAAAAGAUUCAGGAACAGCUUAGAAGCAACCACUGCAACUAUGACCCUGUCAAUAGCCGGCUAUGGCUCUUGGAAGCAGGAAUAGAGAGCCUCAUCACUUGAACCUAUUCUAGCGUUGAAGUCUCCCACGACGAUCACCAGGGCAUCUGGAUGCAGAGACGUCAUCUUAACAAUAUAGUCUUCUAAUCUGGACAUAGCGGCCUUCGCUGGUUCUUUUUGGUG